GAUGAACGCUGGCGGCGUGCCUAAUACAUGCAAGUCGAGCGAACAGACGAGGAGCUUGCUCCUCUGACGUUAGCGGCGGACGGGUGAGUAACACGUGGAUAACCUACCUAUAAGACUGGGAUAACUUCGGGAAACCGGAGCUAAUACCGGAUAAUAUAUUGAACCGCAUGGUUCAAUAGUGAAAGACGGUUUUGCUGUCACUUAUAGAUGGAUCCGCGCCGCAUUAGCUAGUUGGUAAGGUAACGGCUUACCAAGGCAACGAUGCGUAGCCGACCUGAGAGGGUGAUCGGCCACACUGGAACUGAGAUACGGUCCAGACUCCUACGGGAGGCAGCAGUAGGGAAUCUUCCGCAAUGGGCGAAAGCCUGACGGAGCAACGCCGCGUGAGUGAUGAAGGUCUUCGGAUCGUAAAACUCUGUUAUUAGGGAAGAACAAAUGUGUAAGUAACUAUGCACGUCUUGACGGUACCUAAUCAGAAAGCCACGGCUAACUACGU
rnacentral:rRNA from 1 species